UGAAUGUUGAUAUGGUUUUGGCUCUGUCCCCAUGAAUCUCACUUCUAAUUGUAAUCUCCAUAAUCCCCAUGUGUCAAGGGCUGGACCAGGUGGAAGUAACUGAAUCAUGGGGAGGGUUUCCCCGUGCUGUUCUCGUGAUAGUGCCUUCUCACAAGAUCUGAUGGCUUUACAUGUGCUUGGCAUUUUCCCUGUUUGCCUUCCCUUCUUCCUGCUACCUAGUGAAGAAGGUGCCUGCUUCUCCUCUGCUUUCUGCCAUGAUCAUAAGUUUCCUGAGGCCUCCCAGCAUUAUGAAACUCCUUGCCUGGAUUCUCCAUCUCCUCAACCCCAGGAACCAACAAGCUAUCAAAGACAGAAUUUGCACCAGAGGACAAAGGAAGGCUAUAAGCAUGUUGAAGGCAGAGACUAUACCUUGUUCAGUGUUCUGUCUCUAGUAUCUACUGCAAGACCAAGCAAACAAGGUUGUGGUCUGAGUCAAACCUAGGAUCCUGUUUCCAAGAACACCUGUUGCUUCAUGG
rnacentral:lncRNA from 13 species